AUUGAACGCUGGCGGCAUGCCUUACACAUGCGAGUCGAACGGCAGCGCGGGCUUCGGCCUGGCGGCGAGUGGCGAACGGGUGAGUAAUGCAUCGGAACGUGCCCAGUAGUGGGGGAUAGCCCAGCGAAAGCCGGAUUAAUACCGCAUACGACCUGAGGGUGAAAGCGGGGGACCGAAAGGCCUCGCGCUAUUGGAGCGGCCGAUGUCGGAUUAGCUAGUUGGUGGGGUAAAGGCUUACCAAGGCGACGAUCCGUAGCUGGUCUGAGAGGACGACCAGCCACACUGGGACUGAGACACGGCCCAGACUCCUACGGGAGGCAGCAGUGGGGAAUUUUGGACAAUGGGGGCAACCCUGAUCCAGCCAUGCCGCGUGCGGGAAGAAGGCCUUCGGGUUGUAAACCGCUUUUGUUCGGGAAGAAAUCCUCUGGGCUAAUACCCCGGGGGGAUGACGGUACCGGAAGAAUAAGCACCGGCUAACUACGUG
rnacentral:rRNA from 1 species